GUCCAGCCUGCCCAGUGACACAGUUUAACGGCCGCGGUAUCCUGACCGUGCGAAGGUAGUUGUUCUUUAAAUAGGGACUAGUAUCAACGGCAGAGGGUUAUACUGUCUCCUCUCUCCAAUCAGUGAAACUGAUCUCCCCGUGAAGAAGCGGGGAUAAAUAUAUAAGACGAGAAGACCCCAUGGAGCUUUAAACCCAACAGCAAUUUUCCCCACAAAAUUCUGCAUAGCACGAAAAUUCUGCCUGUUGGUUUUGGGUUGGGGUGACCGCGGAGAAAAACUAAACCUCCACGAUGAACGGAAUUAACUCCUAAUUCAAGAGCCACUGCUCUAACAAUCAAUAAAUUGACAUAAACUGAUCCGAUAAUCGAUCAACGGACCAAGUUACCCUGGGGAUAACAGCGCAAUCUACUUCAAGAGCUCCUAUCGACAAGUGGGUUUACGACCUCGAUGUUGGAUCAGGGUAUCCCAGUGGUGCAGCCGCUACUAAAGGUUUGUUUGUUCAACAAUUAAAACCCUACGUGAUCU
rnacentral:rRNA from 1 species